CUCAGAGCUCGGCCGCAGGAAAUUAGAGAGCAUCCAGAGACGUGCGUGUCAUUUCACAGUCCAAGCGUAGGAACAAGUGUGUGCGUAGUGGUUUGCUUCUGUUUGUGCGACCGUGUGCCUGUGAGCAAAGCUACUGCUGCUUAUAGGACGUGUUUAUUACACCGGCCAGGUGACGAGGACUGUGGUCUUACCUUCCACAUGUGGAGGGCUUGAGGAGCAGUUUGCAUGGUGUCCAGUCUGCCCUGAGUCUAACAGGAGAAGAUGAAGAAAGCAGAAGUUAAAGAACAGGUAUGCUAGUUACUCUGACUGCAAGCAGAGGUUAACAUAUGAUAACAACACAAUCACCGGACGUGAUCAUCAAGUCUCCGACAUUGUAAACGGGGGAAUUUCAGAUCAUCUGUGAAUCAUUUCUGUGAACGAAAGCUUGUUCUGCUCAUAGGUUCACAUGGCUGAAGUCUAUCUCAGCUAUCACAGGGAGAGAGGCGAGGUCCACCUGAACAGGCCAUCAGUCUUUCACAACAGAUGGAAAACCACAUUCUCAAGUCUACACCAUUGUGUUUUUAGGCGUAUCCUAACAAGUGUCUCAUGGGAUUGUGAGAGAGCACAAAACUCCUCAGAAAGACCCCUGCUGACAUUUGACAUUUGAACCCAGAGCCUUCUCACUGCAUGGAAAGAGUGGCAAUUUCAGGGUCUAAUCCUGCAUUUUGUUUAUUUAUUUUUGCAUCUACAGAGCAGCUGCAUUAACACACUCACCUGGAGUGUCAGUUAUCAGCCUUCUAACCUAAGCUUUGUCAGCUGGUUCAAUCAGUGACACAAAAGUCUGACACAUUAUGACUUAAACUGGUUUUCACCCUGUUACUGUCAGGUAUGAUCUCUUCUCUUUCUUGGAAAAAUAAACCAACCUAAACACACACAGUUGAA